rnacentral:rRNA from 1 species
GAUGAACGCUGGCGGCGUGCCUAAUACAUGCAAGUCGAGCGAACAGACGAGGAGCUUGCUCCUCUGACGUUAGCGGCGGACGGGUGAGUAACACGUGGAUAACCUACCUAUAAGACUGGGAUAACUUCGGGAAACCGGAGCUAAUACCGGAUAAUAUAUUGAACCGCAUGGUUCAAUAGUGAAAGACGGUUUUGCUGUCACUUAUAGAUGGAUCCGCGCCGCAUUAGCUAGUUGGUAAGGUAACGGCUUACCAAGGCAACGAUGCGUAGCCGACCUGAGAGGGUGAACGGCCACACUGGAACUGAGACACGGUCCAGACUCCUACGGGAGGCAGCAGUAGGGAAUCUUCCGCAAUGGGCGAAAGCCUGGCGGAGCAACGCCGCGUGAGUGAUGAAGGUCUUCGGAUCGUAAAACUCUGUUAUUAGGGAAGAACAAAUGUGUAAGUAACUAUGCACGUCUUGACGGUACCUAAUCAGAAAGCCACGGCUAACUACGUG